rnacentral:rRNA from 1 species
AUUGAACGCUGGCGGCAUGCCUAAUACAUGCAAGUCGAACGAGUGGCGGACGGGCGAGUAAUGUCUGGGAAACUGCCUGAUGGAGGGGGAUAACUACUGUAACCGGUAGCUACUACCGCAUACUAUCGGAUGUGCCCAGAUUGGAUUAGCUAGUUGGUGGGGUAAAGGCUCACCUAGGCGACGAUCCCUAGCUGGUCUGAGAGGAUGACCGGCCACACUGGAACUGAGACACGGCCCAGACUCCUACGGGAGGCAGCAGUGGGGAAUCUUGCGCAAUGGGCGAAAGCCUGAUGCAGCAAUGCCGCGUGUGUGAAGAAGGCUUUCGGGUUGUAAAGUACUUUUGGCAGGGAGGCGUUACCUAAAGAGGAAGCAACGGCUAACUCCGUGCCAGCAGCCGCGGUAAUAC